AGAGAUGUCAAAUGGGUGGGUUAUAAAUGGGUGGCCCGUGUCCAAAUCGAUAUGGUCCAAAAUGGACAGACCCAGAUUAAACCAUAAUUAAAAUUUGUCCAGAUGGGUGAACCCAAUUAUAUCCAUGGGCUAUACUGGGUUUAACCACUUGGACAAUGGGCGGCCCAAUAAACUUAAAUGUCUAGGGUUUGGAUAAUUGGGAGAAAACACAAAUCACUUUUUUUUUUCUUGUCUCAUUCUUGCGAUUUUUCUUCGUGUUUGAUUCUUGUCCUCGUCUUUGAUUCUUCCUCUUCAAGUCCUCGUCUUCGAUUCUUCUUCUUCGUGUUCGAUUCUUCUUCCUUAUCUUCGUUCUGUUUCGAUUCUCUUUCGGUUCUUCUUCACCAACUUCUUAUUUCAUCAUCUCUUAAGGUUUGAUUUCGUGAUUUAUGUUAUGGGGUUUUACUAUUAUCUACUGAUUCGUAUCAUCUACUAGUAUUGUGUUAUGGGUUAUGUGUUAGAUGGAUCAGUGAUUUGUGUUCAUAACGAGUCUGGUGGCGAGUCUGGCGACUGUUUCUGUUUCCGCAAAUCAGACGAAAUCACGAAUCUUUUGAACCUAUCUUGUGUUUUUUUAUAACUUUGAAACAUGAAGUUUAAAACAUAAAGUUUAAGUAUAUGACAUUUUUAAAAUUGAAAACUAAUGAAUUUUUAAAUUUUUAAAACUAAAAUUAUGUUGUUUACAUUAAGUGGCCAUAUGGGCCGUCCAUGGAUAACCCAACAAAUCAUGGUCCUAUUUGGUUAUGGUCUCAUUUGGACAUGGUUCUAUUUGGGCUUCGACCAAAAAAAUCCAGCAAAAAAAUGAAGCCCAUUCGGACACACCCAAACCCGCCCAACCCGCCCAUUUGACAUCUCUAUC
rnacentral:lncRNA from 1 species